UAUCUCUGGCCCUGACUAGCGCUGACAACUAGCUAGCUAAUUCAAGACGCAGAAGUCACAGAUUCUAGACAUAAUGAACUUCUUUUAAACGUCCAUUAACUCCUGCGCCUGUUUUAGAAAACAUUAUUGGAAAAGUAGUGGUCGAACGGCAGCAGACAGAGAUGAGGAACACAGUGAUCCUGAAACAGACUGCAAAUCAGGAAGGGACAGAAAGGAGAGGUGACAAUGUAAGAUUGGAGGGACAUCUAACCUUCCCAUCCAAUGGAUAUUUGAAGAAAUUAGAGAGAAUGCGACAACUCAAGGAAAAUGAAAUUGAGAUACUC